CAUGUUUCAUAGAAGAGGAAAUAGGUAGUUAGCAUGCCACAGCGAUAUGGUUAGAUGGACAAGAGAAAAGAAGCCAAUAUAGGAAUACAGUGGGCAACGGGAUGAACACUCGCACUGGAGAAAGACUCAAGAGACUAGAAAUGAGGAGUGAUACAAACGGGAAAGAGGUUCACUGGGAAUCUAAACUUGUGUAGUGGACAAAAUUCAAUACUACCGACAAGACAAAGUUCGAGGCAAGUUGGUGAACAUAGUGAAGCAUUUAGCGGCUAAAGAGACAGGAGAACAAAGCAGAGCUAAAAGGCGAGUGAAU